rnacentral:pre_miRNA from 1 species
UUUGUACUCCCUCCGUCCCAAAAUUCUUGUCUUAACUUUGUCUAAAUACGGAUGUAUCUAGUUACAUUUUAGUGUUAGAUACAUCUGUAUCUAAACAAAUGUAAGACAAGAAUUUUGGGACGGAGAGAAUACUAC